UGGGGAAUUUUGGACAAUGGGCGAAAGCCUGAUCCAGCAAUGCCGCGUGCAGGAUGAAGGCCUUCGGGUUGUAAACUGCUUUUGUACGGAACGAAAAAGCUCCUUCUAAUACAGGGGGCCCAUGACGGUACCGUAAGAAUAAGCACCGGCUAACUACGUGCCAGCAGCCGCGGUAAUACGUAGGGUGCGAGCGUUAAUCGGAAUUACUGGGCGUAAAGCGUGCGCAGGCGGUUAUGUAAGACAGAUGUGAAAUCCCCGGGCUCAACCUGGGAACUGCAUUUGUGACUGCAUGGCUAGAGUACGGUAGAGGGGGAUGGAAUUCCGCGUGUAGCAGUGAAAUGCGUAGAUAUGCGGAGGAACACCGAUGGCGAAGGCAAUCCCCUGGACCUGUACUGACGCUCAUGCACGAAAGCGUGGGGAGCAAACA
rnacentral:rRNA from 1 species